GGGUAAGGGAGGAGUGAGCCUGGGUGCUGUGGGGGGAGGGGGUUGUUCAAGGGAUGGGGACGAUCAGGGUCUCUGGGAAGUGCUGACGUGUGCGCGUGUGCGGUGUGUUGCUUGUGGGUGCGUGUGUGGUGUGUGCAUGUGUGUGCGCGCGCGUGUGUGCGGGGUGUGCCGUGAGCGUGUGCCCGCGGUUCGGGGGAUGAGUAGGGGCGCUGACUUUUAGGACCAGCCAUUUGAGUCAAGCUGGAGACGACGUCUUAGAACCUAGGAUGAGUCUCGUUUGGUUUUAGUCUGCAAAGCUCGUCUGCAUCAGACAGGAAUUUUCCCCAGACGCGGGUGCACGUGAAUUAAUUCAUCAGAAGGCGGUUCACGGCCUGAGUGAGGGGGACGAGGGCGGCGAAUUCCUCCGCCUCAUUCCUACCCUGACGAUUCGAGCCUUAGCAAGUUCUGGCCUGUGGAGCCGUCAUCCAGAGCGCACAGCUUCAUGCCCUUGAAGGGCGCAGUGUGUCCCGUGGUGCCCGGUGGGCCCGGACAGAGACCCCAGAGGCUCUGUCUGAAGGAAGCUGCACCCACAGACUCCAUCCAGGCAGCGCGGGCGCGGUCCUGUCGCCUACCUUUCUCGGAAGCCAUCUGCCCAUGUGAAUCUAUGUGAAGGCCCUUCAUGCGCUCCUGGACAUCUGCGUGGGAUUUACUUCAACUGCUAUCGCUGCGAGGAGGACGAGCAUGUUUCACUGUAUUUUUAGCAGAGAGUGCAGAUUUUAGAACCUCGCGAACGGUCCUGUAUCUCCUGCACGAUGACUCUCCAGAACAGGAAUAGUGACCCUUCCUUUGCAUUUAUGGUGCAUAGGUUUUCAAAGGACAGUGUGUAAAUCAGCUUGUGUAAUAAUUGUGGCACCCACGCGCGCAAGCAGACUUACCAUGAGCUGACUUCCACUGAUUAUUUCAGUUUCCAGGGAAACGAGGUUUGCAGCCCCCUCCAGUGAGGGCGGAGCGGCCUCUCCAUUCCCAAUGCAGCAAGGCUGCUGCAGCCACGAUGAUUAGGCUUUGGAGGAGGAAGUGAACGGAUGGGGCCUCAUCCUCCUGCCUCCCUAAAGGGUGAGGGUGGAAGGAUGGGGCUGUGCCCUCUUAGGGCAGGGAAAAACAGCUUGGAGGGGUUUCUGCCAUCAGAGAUCCCAUAGGAGGCAGGUCAGUCCUGCAGAAUUUCUCCCCAGUCUGGCCUCCAGCCUCCCUGGCCCCUUUCUAGAGGCCUCCAUCCCACUGGCGGCUUGCUCCUGCCACCGGGCCUCUGCACAGUCACCUCCUGCAGCCUGGGGUGUGUCGCCUCUCCACGUCCUCACCGGCGUCUGCCUUUGCAUUUCCCAGAUGCUCGCUUCACCCCACUGAGAUGUAACUCAGUUUUGUGGGAUCCCACUGCCCUCCAGGUGCCGCUCCGAGUGCUCUACACAGAUUUUCAUUCAGUCCUUGCGGCACACGAAGGGAUGGCCUCUGCACUUCAGCUGGUUUCUGACACCUAAAAACAGAAGUGGAAAAGGGAGCAGACGCAGCCACAUUUUGAAAGCUGAUUCGGUUGCUUUCUGGCAGAAUCCCUGCCCCCAAGCACCUGCCAGGCCCACCCAUGAAGCCUCUUCCCACGCCUUAACUCUGCCCCAUGAGGGGACCUCAAGCAGUUGCAGUCUAGUCAGAGUGGCUGUACCAUUUUGCAUUCCCAGACCGAAGUGUGAAAGCUCCAGAUGCCCCACGCCCUCACCAGCCCACGGUGUUGUCAGCCUUAAUAGUGCUGACCAUUCUGCCUGUUAAUAUGAUGAAUUACACUGAUUCAGUUUCAAAUGUCCAACCAAGCUUGCACUCCAGAGAUGAAGCCCACUUGAUCACAUGGAUUAUUCUUUUAAUAUAUGAUGGAUACGACUUGGCUGUUCUUUUGUUGAGGAUUUUUGUGUUUAUGUUAAUGAGGAUAUUAUUUGUAGUUUUCUUUUCUUGUAAUGUUUUUGUCUUUGUUCAGUGUCAGAGUAAUGCCAACUUCAUAAAGUGAGCUGGGAAGUA
rnacentral:lncRNA from 1 species